CUCAUUGUGCUCCAUUGAUCUUUUUACAUUGGUCUCAGACUCUUAAGUAGUAGCCUUUGUCUUACAUAUUUUGAAACAUUAUCAUGAAUAGAGCAACAUAUACUGUAAAUCCUCUCCUGUCUUCCAACAGAUGGUUUUGCAAUUUGCGUUAACGGUUAGGCAAGUUGUAUAAUCCACUUCUAAUGAUUAAGCAGGGUGUGAUUUGUAAAGGGGGUGCGGGUGGAUAUUAUCCCCUCUGCUGGUUUUAAUUCACUUUUUCUACAUACUUAAAUACCUCCAUUGAAAUUGCCUUGGCAAAUCGCCUCUUAACAAGUGGUUUAAGGCUUAGGUUAAGAUUUGUGAACAAAAUGAUAUAAUUGCUAUAAUUGGAGCUUGUUUUGUCUUCAUUGGAACAUUCCGUGCACGGACUGGGAUUAUACUGUACUGUGUAGUGUGUACCAAGGCCAAAGACAAACUAAAGAUCUUGGUAUAUUGGGAUGAAUCUGUGGUUAAAGUAAUAUACAACAUGUCAAGUUGGUUAAUAAGAUGUUAACUUCGUAAUGAGAUAUUACUUUUUGACUUAUUACAAGCUCUCGGCUGUCAGAGCACACCCACCCCACUGCCAUCCCCAUGCCCUACCAAUUACUGUAUACAUUGCAUGUCAGCCCCUGAGCUGCACCUGACUGUUGGCUUUCAUCCAUGGAGCUCAAAUCAUUCUGUCAUGUGAUUCAUUGUUGUUUCCUGGGUUGUAAGUUUCAUUUUUGCCAUUGAUAUCUGUUACAGUGUGAUGCCAUCUUUGUAGAACCGGUUUUCCUCCAUUAAUCUUCUAAAGGGGCGUGGCGGUUUAGAUUCUUCAUGCAAUAUGGCACCUUUCCUGGAAAUUAUCUCAUUCCACAACUUCCUUCAGUUAAAUAAUAAAUAUUAAAUAAUUCUACCUUUGAUCUGUUUUUCCAGCCCUUCUCUAAAUCUGGCAACGUAAAUUCUACCUACAUGCCUUUGAAUACUAUGAUACCAGCUACCAGAUUCAAUGGUGACAUCACUAGAAUAAGAGAAUAUGUUCCAGAGUGUUAGCCUGGUAAACCAGCGCCACCUGCUGGACGCUGAAAAUUUUUCAGCUGCGGGUGGGUCUGGUAUCGAACAACUAUUCAUUUUGAAUCUUGCCCUGAAUCUGGCAAGAUGGCAACUAAACCAAUCACAACGCAGAGAUGUGUUUUGAAUCAACGCGGGCGGGGCAGAGGGUUCUGGGGCGGGGUUUUGAGGGAGUGACGACAUAGCAGUGAGACGCUGGGCGCUGGAGAAAGCACAACAUGGCGGCGGCAAUGGAACAGCGCUCGUUUGAUUCUGCAUUGGCAUCAGUUUUGGAAAGACUUGGGGUUUUCGUUAAAACGUGAGCAAGAGGAGGCUCUACGUUCAUUCAUUUUUAAGAAGGCCGUUUUCGCCGUGUUACCGACAGGCUAUGGCAAAAGUGAUGGGGCUCUUUGAAAACCCGAUGGUAGUACCGGUAGUCGUCUCGCCCUUGUUAGCCCUAAUGGUAGACCAGGCGAAGGAGGCGAGCAAUUUUGGACUCACUGCCAUGCAACUGGGCGUCGAUAACCCAGCAAACAUAAAAAUGUGUCGUCAGUGCCAGUUGGUCUUCGGAGCAUGGCUUUUGCUGAACGCGACGUGUUGUCUUCCAAGACAAGGUCCUCGGAGUGGACGAGGUUCACCUCAUAUAAUGGUAAGUGGCAUGCUCUUAACAACGUCAGGGUGUGUGUAAAGUAUAUUCCUAAAAGAUGACGGUAAUGAUUUGGUAAACGCUUCACCCUGUUGCCAUUAUAACAGAUGGACUGUCGCCCCGGACGUCUCCCUUUUUAAUCUCAGUUUACAGUCUUAAAUGUUGACUAUCUAAACAAAGUAUGUGGCCGCAAGAUUGAAGUUUACAUGGACGUUGUGUGAGAUGAACGUGGGGCUGAUUGACUGGGGAUGACAGAUAAACGGCUGUGUACGGCGGCUGGAGGUUAAAUGUUACACUUUGGAAAUUAGUACAGUGCACUUCGACGAGACCAGCAUCGCGUCGCACUAAAAUAACAUCGAUGUUAUGGAGCUAAUAGUGCCAUACCGGUGGAGUGAUCUACACUAGAAUCACACUGAUACCGUGUAUUCAGACAGUUAAUACACCGAGUAAACCAACGAAAACACUUCUGAGACUCAUUCUUGUGCGUGAUUGUAUUCUCAAACACUUCAGUGCGGUGAGCAUUCCGAGAAACCAUCCCCAGUCAAUCGAGCCCCACGAUGAUCUCUCACAACGCACUUGCUCAAUUAUGUUGAAUUAAUUGUUCCGUUGAUGUGGAAAUAACACUAAGAAGCUAGUUUAUAUGGACUUUGAAUUGCUUUGUGAUUGAAGAAUAACGUACUGAUUUUCCACAGGGGGAAACGUGACAAAGGGAAGGCCUUCAGGUAUUUUUUUGGCAAGCUAGGAGAACACAUCUGACAGACAAAAAGGUUUCAUCAAAGACACACAGACGGCUCCUGAAGUAAAGGACCUACACAGGACCUUCAUAUCAAGGACAUUGACUGUGUGGAUCUCGAGGUGCAGUUACCCAAAAGUUGCUACCCACGGAAUACCAGGUUUUGAGGGAUCCUGCCAGAGCAGAGAAUCAACAGAUACAUUGAAGAGGAGACUCCAACAUGACCGCCGGCAUCUUGUGUUAUUCACCCCCACCACUUGUAAUACUGAAUGCCUGAAUUGUUGUUUGCUGCUCAGACUUUGUCAACAGAUAUGGUCUUCGACAUGUUACCCUUAGGUGUGGAAACAGAUUGUGACAGUCCAGCAAAAUGAGCCAGACAGAUAGUAACACUGAAAAAGGACAACGUUGUUCCCAUGGCCUCCCACUGCAGAAGACUACAGACGCUCAGUAAAGUACAAACAACUGUUCCUCUUGUACUUAAUAAUUUAGUCAGCUGGAUUCUAGGUGCCACUAAGGAGCCAACAGUGGAUAAUUUUGUCAACAUUUCAAUGGCAUACAUUAAAAGGGCAGCCUGUAAUUGUUUGCCUUGCCUCCAUCUUCCUUGCCACCAAGGGGUUGUAGACCGAUGCCCUAGUCCUCCUGUUUAGGUACAACCAUGGAGUUAGGCCAGUCUAUUGAAGCAUAUACUUAUGACUGUUUGUAUGUGUUGUGUAUCUAGUAAUGGAUAAAUUACCACAUGAAUAACUGCAUAUUCAUUAUAUUGAUAAUUAUAAUGGCUUCCAUUAUUGAUUAAAAAAGGGAUCUACCACCACUUGCAUUAUUGUUUUGUUAUAAAUGAAGCACUGUUAGGAAUCCAGGAAGACGGAUGCCGAGGCACUCAAGGUUGCAUUUUUUUUUUUCCUUUUUUAUUUGGCUACAAUGCCUCAGCAUCUGUCUUCCUGGACCAAGUUUGACAGCCCCUACACUGAUGAGCACCAAGGAAAAAAGGUGAAGACCCAGAAGCACUCCAAUUACCUGCUUGUGUUUGAUAAUGUUAGGAUCCAUUUAUCCCACUUUAAAUGCAUGAAUGAAUAUCACUGAAAAUUGGAAUUGUUUCCAUUAAUUUUUUAUUUUUUUUAAAUGUAUAUAUCAUGAAAGGUAACUUGCAUUGCCUUUUGAAGCACAGUUUAACAGUUGGACCACAUUGUAUAGCCUAUAUGAACGAUCAUUAUUGAUGAUCUUGGAUAUUAUUGAUAUUGUAGGCCUAUUUCUAUUUGGGCUAAUGUCUUUGCCUUUGGCACCCUCAUGCAUUAUUGUUCUUCAAGAUAGAAAUUAAUCACGGUCAUUCUUAACUGUUAAGAAUCAAUCUGUCUUCCUUAGAGAGAUAUAUAUUUUAAAAACCUUAUUUUAGUACAA